rnacentral:rRNA from 1 species
GGACUACAAGGGUAUCUAAUCCCGUUCGCUCCCCCAGCUUUCGCGUCUCAGCGUCAGGGGCAGGCCAGAAAGCCGCCUUCGCCACUGGCAUUCCUCCCGAUAUCUACGCAUUUCACCGCUACACCGGGAAUUCUACUUUCCUCUCCUGCCCUCGAGCCCGGCAGUCUCCCGCGACCUCCUACAGUUAAGCCGUAGGCUUUCACACGGGGCUUACCAGGCCGCCUGCACGCGCUUUACGCCCAGUGAUUCCGGACAACGCUCGCCCCCUACGUCUUACCGCGGCUGCUGGCAC